GGCUGUAGCUCAGUAGUAGAGCAUUUGCCUUUGAAUGCAGAAGGUCCCAGCUUCAAUCCCUGGUAUGGCCA